GACAGAGGGUGCAAACGUUGUUCGGAUUUACUGGGCGUAAAGCGCGUGUAGGCGGCUUUGCAAGUCGGAUGUGAAAUCCCACGGCUCAACCGUGGAAGUGCAUCCGAAACUGCAUCGCUGGAGUCUCGGGAGAGGAAGGGUGGAAUGCUUGGUGUAGAGGUGAAAUUCGUAGAUAUCAAGCAGAACACCUGGCGGCGAAGGCGGCCUUCUGGACGAUGACUGACGCUGAGACGCGAAAGCGUGGGGAGCAAACAGG
rnacentral:rRNA from 1 species